CGGAGGGUGCGAGCGUUGUCCGGAAUCACUGGGCGUAAAGGGCGCGUAGGUGGCCUGUGGAAGUCUGCGGUGAAAGCCCGGCGCUCAACGCCGGGUCGGCCGUGGAUACUCUCGGGCUUGAGCUCACUAGAGGCAGAUGGAAUUCCGGGUGUAGCGGUGGAAUGCGUAGAGAUCCGGAAGAACACCGGUGGCGAAGGCGGUCUGCUGGGGUGAUGCUGACACUGAUGCGCGACAGCGUGGGGAGCAAACGGGAUUAGAUACCCUGGUAGUCCACGCCGUAAACGAUGGGCACUAGGUGCUUGGGGGAGCGACCCCCUGAGUGCCGUCGCUAACGCAUUAAGUGCCCCGCCUGGGGAGUACGGCCGCAAGGCUG
rnacentral:rRNA from 1 species